GGAUAUUGGAACGCAGAAGUUAGAGUUGAUUGUAUUCUCCACAUUUCCCAUCAUCCUGCUGCUGCUGCUUAUUGCGUCAGGAAUGUGAUUUCUGGUAUAGAUAUUGUCAAUCGUGUUCAUAGCAACGGAUUCAUUCAUCUAACCCUAUUAGACGGCUCGGUUUGGUUGAUUGGUUGGUGGUAUAUUAUGACCCGCAUCUGAGUUUCGGAAGAAUCCAGAAACUACACAUUGGAAUCUAAAAAACCUCGAUAUCCAUCUUUUUUGGGAAUCCGUUGCAGGUUUUGGUACCGGAAUCAUUUGGAUUCCUGAGGAGACAUGUAGCAGGGAGAUUGGAUCAAGCAACUGUGGGUUGGAGAAAUGCUCUGAGGAUUGUUCUAAAGCAGUACCAGAUGGUGAGGGGACCUGCAGAGACACCACACUUGUAUCUGCAGCUAUCAUUGUAAGGAACCCCCAGUCUAAUUAUACAUGGUGGUGAUCUUCCAAGCAAAUGUGUAUUUCGUGUUUCUUGAAAUUUACUUGACAAAUAAAGGCGUUGAAAUAAAAAUUCAUGCAGAAUGACUCGAUAGUUGUUUAGAUGAUGUAUUAAUUUACAA